rnacentral:other from 1 species
ACAUUCCUGCGAUGUGCGUAACAGUCCUCCGUUGUUUUGAACCAAUGAAUGUUUCUAGGGAGAUCUAGAUUGCCGCGCGGCUGACCCGCCCCCCUGAUGCGGGGGACUUCAAAAGCGCAGCUGCGAUCACCCACCUGCGAGAGCGGGUUUGAAGCAUAGAGGACCGGACGGCAUAGGCGGGUCACCC